rnacentral:rRNA from 1 species
AUUGAACGCUGGCGGCAUGCUUUACACAUGCAAGUCGAACGGUAACAGGCCGCAAGGUGCUGACGAGUGGCGAACGGGUGAGCAAUGCAUCGGAACGUGCCCAUGCGCUGGGGAUAACGCAGCGAAAGCUGCGCUAAUACCGCAUACGUUCUCUGGAAGAAAGGGGGGGACCGUAAGGCGUCGCGCGAUUGCAGCGGCCGGUGUCAGAUUAGGUAGUUGGUGGGGUAAAGGCUCACCAAGCCAACGAUCUGUAGCUGGUCUGAGAGGACGACCAGCCACACUGGGACUGAGACACGGCCCAGACUCCAACGGGAGGCAGCAGUGGGGAAUUUUGGACAAUGGGCGCAAGCCUGAUCCAGCAAUGCCGCGUGCAGGAAGAAGGCCUUCGGGUUGUAAACUGCUUUUGUACGGAACGAAACGGUCCGGGUUAAUACCCUGGGCUAAUGACGGUACCGUAAGAAUAAGCACCGGCUAACUACGUGCCAGCCGCCGCGGUAAUAC